UUAAGUAGGUUAUGUAUGACUUGUUUUAAGGUUUAAGUCUUACAAAGCCUGCUUAGAU
rnacentral:precursor_RNA from 1 species